UUGGUUAAGUUAGAAAGGGCGCACGGUGGAUGCCUUGGCACUAGGAGCCGAAGAAGGACGGGACUAACACCGAUAUGCUUUGGGGAGCUGUACGUAAGCGUUGAUCCAGAGAUUUCCGAAUGGGGGAACCCACUAUCUUUAGUCGGAUAGUAUCCUUACGUGAAUACAUAGCGUGAGGAAGGCAGACCCAGGGAACUGAAACAUCUAAGUACCUGGAGGAAGAGAAAGAAAAAUCGAUUUCCUGAGUAGCGGCGAGCGAAACGGAAAGAGCCCAAACCAAGAAGCUUGCUUCUUGGGGUUGUAGGACACUCUAUACGGAGUUACAAAAGAAAGUUAUAAAUGAAGCGGUCUGGAAAGGCCCGCCAAAGACGGUAACAGCCCGGUAGUUGAAAUGGCUUUCCCUCCAGAGUGGAUCCUGAGUACGGCGGAACACGUGAAAUUCCGUCGGAAUCCGGGAGGACCAUCUCCCAAGGCUAAAUACUCCCUAGUGACCGAUAGUGAACCAGUACCGUGAGGGAAAGGUGAAAAGCACCCCGGAAGGGGAGUGAAACAGUUCCUGAAACCGUGUGCCUACAAGUAGUUAGAGCCCGUUAAUGGGUGAUAGCGUGCCUUUUGUAGAAUGAACCGGCGAGUUACGAUUUGUUGCAAGGUUAAGCGGAAAAAGCGGAGCCGUAGCGAAAGCGAGUCUGAAUAGGGCGCAUAAGUAACAGGUCGUAGACCCGAAACCAGGUGAUCUACCCAUGUCCAGGAUGAAGGUAAGGUAAUACUUACUGGAGGUCCGAACCCACGCACGUUGAAAAGUGCGGGGAUGAGGUGUGGGUAGC
rnacentral:rRNA from 1 species